AUGAUGUGGAUUAAUUCGAUGCAACGCGAAAACCUUACCCACCUUUGACAUGGCAGGAAUCCCGAAGAGAUUGGGAGUGCUCGGAAAGAGAACCUGCACACAGGUGCUGCAUGGCUGUCGUCAGCUCGUGUCGUGAGAUGUUGGGUUAAGUCCCGCAACGAGCGCAACCCUUGCCAUUAGUCGCUACGAAAGGGGCACUCUAAUGGGACUGCCGGUGACAAACCGGAGGAAGGUGGGGAUGACGUCAAGUCCUCAUGGCCCUUAUAGGUGGGGCUACACACGUCAUACAAUGGCCGGUACAGAGGGUAGCCAACCCGCGAGGGGGAGCCAAUCCCACAAAGCCGGUCGUAGUCCGGAUCGCAGUCUGCAACUCGACUGCGUGAAGUCGGAAUCGCUAGUAAUCGCGGAUCAGCAUGUCGCGGUGAAUACGUUCCCGGGUCUU
rnacentral:rRNA from 1 species